UGCAGAACAUUUGCUAACUUUUAGCUAACGUCGAGCUAAACUUUUAAGCAGCUUUACACCGUAUGUAGCAUUACAGGUCGAGAGACUAACAUUUGGCUAACAUCUGAAGUAGGUUUUGGAUUUAGCAUAAAAGUGCUUUGCUAACUCUUAGCUAACCUUAUAAUACUGUUUAAAAAAACAACAACAUUAUAGCUGAUAAUACAAAGAGUUCGACGCCUCUUAGCCUUAGCGCUAGCGUUAGUGAUUCUGUCAUGCUAAUCUCAUGAGGAGCCUCUGGUUUAUGAGUGAACAGCAGCUGCUCUGCUUUUCCACACUGUCACGCCAUGAGGCCAACGCCCGGCCUCCUGCGGCAUGCUGGGAUCGAGUUAGCAGAGGGAGACAAGCGGCUGCCAUCUCGCUGAGGUCACCGCUGAACACGUGUGUGUGUGUGUGUGUGUGUGUGUGUGUGUGUCAGUACUGUCCCCAAUGCUUUUUAUCUUUGAGUUUAUAGUGCCUCAGAAGGAAUGCAAACAUUCUGAAUUCAGAUGAACUUUGACCUUUGCGGAGAAAAAACAAGAAGGAAGGAUUGAAGAUGAAGUUAAACGAAGGAAACCGCUCUCUUCUGCCGUGUGUGAAGACUUAAGGAGAAAGAAAGACAGAGAUAAAGGAGGAGAGAUGAAGGUUGUGCGAGUGACAGAACAGAGGAGAAGAGAGCGAAGUUUCAUCUACCCCGCGCACCAGUCACCUGCAGCGAGAGGCCUGGAGCCGUCCUGCGCCAUGGCGACCUGUCCACGUCGUCAACGUCCAAAUUUACGAGUGUAAUAAUGAACGAUGGAGAGAAAGAGACGGAGACGGAGGGAGGAUCUGCCACGAGGAAUGUUUUCAUCUGUCUCUUUCCAGAUGAUGCAUUUUUCCUUCCUGCCAAAUGGAAGACAACGUCGGAUUGUGUGUGUGUAUCGGCGUGUGAGUGUGUGUGUACUCGGAAAACACCUUUUGCAACCGAGGCCUAGCUACAAUAUUGCUUUUGUCUCAAACAAUACACACACACACACACACACA